UACGUAGGGUGCAAGCGUUGUCCGGAAUUAUUGGGCGUAAAGAGCUUGUAGGCGGUUUGUCGCGUCUGCUGUGAAAUUUCGGGGCUCAACCCCGAACUUGCAGUGGGUACGGGCAGGCUAGAGUGUGGUAGGGGAGACUGGAAUUCCUGGUGUAGCGGUGAAAUGCGCAGAUAUCAGGAGGAACACCAAUUGCGAAGGCAGCUCGCUGGGACGUCACUGACGCUGAGACGCGAAAGCGUGGGGAGCAAACAGG
rnacentral:rRNA from 1 species